rnacentral:rRNA from 1 species
UGGGGAAUAUUGGACAAUGGGCGCAAGCCUGAUCCAGCCAUGCCGCGUGUGUGAAGAAGGUCUUCGGAUUGUAAAGCACUUUAAGUUGGGAGGAAGGGCAGUAAGCGAAUACCUUGCUGUUUUGACGUUACCGACAGAAUAAGCACCGGCUAACUCUGUGCCAGCAGCCGCGGUAAUACAGAGGGUGCAAGCGUUAAUCGGAAUUACUGGGCGUAAAGCGCGCGUAGGUGGUUCGUUAAGUUGAAUGUGAAAGCCCCGGGCUCAACCUGGGAACUGCAUCCAAAACUGGCGAGCUAGAGUAGGGCAGAGGGUGGUGGAAUUUCCUGUGUAGCGGUGAAAUGCGUAGAUAUAGGAAGGAACACCAGUGGCGAAGGCGACCACCUGGGCUCAUACUGACACUGAGGUGCGAUAGCGUGGGGAGCAAACAGG